ensembl:lncRNA
GUAGCUCUUAUGCCCCCCACAAUUGCAACUUCAACUACAACUGUAGCAUCACCUACAACAACAACUGCAGAUGCUUCCACAACCACAAGUGCAGCACCUACUACCUCAAUCCCAACUGCAGGUCCUACUACCAUUUUGACUCCUAAGACAAUCACAACUGAAGCUCCUACAGAAAUCACAACUGUAGCUCUUAUGCCCCCCACAAUUGCAACUUCAAUUACAACUGUAGCAUCGCCUACAACAACAACUACAGAUGCUUCCACAACCACAAGUGCAGCACCUACUACAUCAAUCCCAACUGCAGGUCCUACUACCAUUUUGACUCCUAAGACAAUCACAACUGAAGCUCCUACAGAAAUCACAACUGUAGCUCUUAUACCCCCCACAAUUGCAACUUCUACUUCAACAACUGUUGCUUCCACGAACACAACUGCAGCGGCUCCUAUAAUAACAACUGUAGAUGCUUCCAUAAACAAAACAGCAGCACCUACUACGUCAAUCUCAACUGCAGGUCCUACUACCAAUUUAACUCCAACGACAACCUCAACUGAAGCUCCAACAGACAUCACAACUGUCGCUCCUAUGCACCCCACAAUUGCAACUUCAAAUGUAGCAUCACCUACAACAACAACUGCAGAUGCUUCCACAACCACAAGUGCAGCACCUACUACCUCAAUCCCAACUGCAGGUCCUACUACCAUUUUGACUCCUAAGACAAUCACAACUGAAGCUCCUACAGAAAUCACAACUGUAGCUCUUAUGCCCCCCACAACUUCUACUUCAACAACUGUUGCUCCCACGACCACAACUGCAGCAGCUCCUAUAACAACAACUGUAGAUGCUUCCAGAAACACAACAUCAGCACCUACUACGUCAAUCACAACUGCAGGUCCUACUAACAUUUUGACUCCAAUGACAAGCACAACUGAGGCUCCUUCAGACGUCACUACUGUUGCUCCUUUGAACCCCACAAUUGCAGCUUCUUCUUCAACAACUGUAGCUCCCACGAUCACUACAACUGCAGAAGCUCCUACGACAACAACUGUAGCUGCUUCUACAUUUACUACUGCAUCCCCUACUGCAACCACAACAGACGCUCCUUCUACAACAACUGUAGCAUCAAUGACUUUAGGAACAACAGUCCCAACGACAACUGCAGCUAAUUCCUCAACUUUAGCUCCUUCAAUGCCAAUCCCAACUGCAGCUCCUAUAACAACAACUCUUGCUCCUACAACCUCUACAACUUCAGCACCCACUAGUUUAUUCACAACUGCAGGUCCUACUACCAUUUUACCUCCUUCGACAACCACUACAACAACUGUAGCUCCUACAAUGUCAAUCUCAACUGCAGGUCCUACUACCAUUUUACCUCCUACGACAACCACAACUGUAUCACCUAUGACAACCUCAACAACUGUAGCUCCUACAACACCAAUCACAACUGCAGGUCCUAAAACCAUAUUAACGACAACCGCCACUGCAACUUCUACUACAACUACAAAUGCAGGUCCUUCAACCACCACAACUGCAGCGCCUAUUACAACUAGAACAGCAGCUCCUACAAGUUCAACCACAAUUGCACUUCCUACCUCGACAACCACAACGGCAACAUUUACCUCAACUUCUACGGCUUCAGUGGCAUCAACUAGAUUUGGCACAGUGGUGGUUUUUGUAAGACUAGAGUUCCAGCUCAACACUGCAGUCCCCAGUAAGGAUGUCGUCCUUGGUGCCGUCGACAAGAAACUGUCUACACAAUUCAGGACCUUCAAAAUUCAAAGAAACACUCAAGCCACCCUCCAGAAUGCAACUUAUAUCAAACUUUCAGAUACUUCAUUUGCUGUUGAUCUUGGUUUCAAAAUAACCAAUGUAUCUAUGGAGGAGAGACUGCUUCAAAGUGCUAGAGCCACUUUCACCGAUGAUACCUACAGCCAGAUACAGGAUUCAAUUAACAGCCUACUGCAUGAUAUUCUCAGUGAACCAAAAGGCAAACAAUUUGACUUUCCCAAAGCCAAAUUUAGUGUUGUUGGCAAUCAAAUCAGGGCAAACGUGACGUAUGUAUACAAAGAGAAAGACGUCAACCUCCCUAGUGCCUUUCUAGGGGAUGUUUUAAAAGUCUCAGGUCUCCUAACAACCACUGUUGCACCAACAACAACUACCAGCACCUCACCACCUACUACCCCUUUGCUGACCACUCCUUUCAGUAUAAGUGACAGAGGUUUUCCUGGCUGGGCUCUGGCCAUUAUCAUCCCCUGUGGCAUCGCUAUCAUUCUGGUACCCCUGUGGAUCCUGCUAUGUUGCAUGCUAUGUGGCGGCUGUGCAGCUUUAAGGAGACGCUGGCAACAACACAGAGCUUACAACGUACAGUACACCACAAGAAACGGCAUCUUCUGAGGUGACAAGACUAUCAAAAUAACAGCUAAUCAUCUAUAUCUGCUCAUCAUCACAACAAAUAAUAUAUUUUUCAUGUAAUCCAUACACCAUUACUUUUGAGAAGAUCAAACACGGACUUGCUUUUAUUUUUAUAACAAAAUUGCAUUGUUCUUGAAAGGGUUAAUAGGUCAUGUGUUUCCCCAAUGUACUACUUUUUAAUAUUAUACAGUAUUUCUCAUUUUAGUCAAAGCUACAGCUGAGCUGGUAUAUUAUGCAUUUAUGUAAUUUAAUCAUUUAUAUACACAAAAAUAUUAUUUUUGAUUUUUGUCAUUUCCCCUGCUGAUUUAAGCUAUUAACUCACUAUAUUUGAAAGUCUGCAAUACAGCACUUGUUUCUUUAUCAUACAAUUUAACACAUGUAAUAAAAGCCUUUCAAAUCAACAUUAACUGGAUAAAUAAUGUCUGCAGAAAUCCUCUUAGAAUUAUUUAAACAUGCUAUAACGCAACAAUUGUUAACACUUUGCUCUACGUGGGUAAGGUAUUCAUAACAC